rnacentral:misc_RNA from 1 species
UCCUGGUUUCCCAGGCAGUCUCAUCAGAGUGCCUUCGUUAGAAGUAGCAACUGAUGACAAGAGUUGCGCUCGUUAAAGGACUUAACCCAACAUCUCACGACACGAGCUGACGACAGCCAUGCAGCACCUGUGUAUUUGUUCAGGUUUCCCUGAAAAACCCUAUUUCUAGGGCGGUCAAAUACAUGUCAAACCUAGGUAAGGUUCCUCGCGUAGUGUCGAAUUAAACCACAUGUUCCACCGCUUGUGCGGACCCCCGUCAAUUUCUUUGAGUUUUAAUCUUGCGACCGUACUCCCCAGGCGGAUCACUUAACGCGUUAGCUACGACACUAAAUCUGCAAAGCAGAUUUAACGUCUAGUGAUCAUCGUUUACGGCGUGGACUAC